UAAAACACAAUAAAAAGCRCAUUAACUAAAAGCCUGUCUGAAUAAAAAUGUCUUAAGAUGUUUCUUAAAAGAGUCAGAAGAAUCUGAACAGCGAAAGGACAGAGGGAGAGCAUCCCAGAGCCUCGGGUCCACCACCUGAAAAGCUUUAUCUCCACGAGUUUUAUAAUGGGUUCGAGGGACCACAAGCAGCAUUUGAAGACCUCAAAGUCCUGGAUGGACAGAGAGUCGUCAGAAGGUCCAAUGUGUAUUUGGUAGAAGAUGAUAAAACCCUCUGGCCCAGUGUUUCAUAAAGAUAAGCUGUGGAGGUUAAAGAGAUGAUGUUUAAUCUGUGAACCAUUUACCACUUUGGUUUUGACUCCAUUCAGACAGAUCAGUCCUGUCAGAGUUAAACUGUUUCAACAAACUGAUUUAAACUAUUUUAAAGUCAUUAUCCAGAGCCUUCAAAGAACCCCACUUCUAAAAGUUCUAAAUAUCUUUUCAGUUCCCUUGCUAUUUGUUCAAAUAAACUUAAUUAAAAACUUAAUGGAACAAGAAGUGCCAUAUGCAAUUUUAACAAAUUGGGCUUUUUUAAUUUAUCACUUGAAUUAUCAAAAUUUGAAAGCAGAUUGUAAUUCUUUCUUUGUUUAUGAGUCAUCUGUAUUUGUAUAAUUUUAGUUAAAGAUAAUUUGUAUUUGACAUAAUCAGCAUUUGAUAAAUAUGUUCCUGCUUGAGGACAAUCAGAUUUUGACCAACAUGUAAUCCAAAUCUUGAUUAAAGAACCUUGAACCAACUUGAAUCUGCUUAUAUUCACUAUGAACCUAAAGUAUGGAACUUACUGUGUAUUUUAGAAUAAAGCCAGUGUACUGUAUGUGUUUCUCCAUUAUUAAAGCAAUAUAAUUUCUGCUUGAA